rnacentral:lncRNA from 1 species
AGGAGGGACCCAGGUGUUGCCCCCGGAUGUAUACCAGGGCAGCUUGUUAUGCAGGAGGAGGGGAAGUGGACCCUUGUCAGUCUGCUCAGACAGAGCCCUUAAGCUUGGCUCUGGAGCCCGUGGUGUUCAACUGGGGACAACGUGUCCUGGCACGGGCAGAGCCUGACCUGGGCAUGUUUGUGUCCUCUGACGCCCUGUCCAUGCCUUCCAACCCUAAGGCCCCUCCUUGAGUUGCUCACGCAGUGUAUGGGGUGCAAAGGCCCCUGGCUGAGGGUGGCAGGGGCCGCCUGAGCACAGGGCACUGGCCUGGGGUAGACGUCAUUCAUUCCCCACAGGAGCAGCAGCUUGGGCUGGCCAGAUGCUGUCAGCAGAAGCUGAUCGGCACCCCGCUGUCUCACCCUGGGACCCGUGGAAGGAGGGUUUCAGGGAGAGAGAGCCGAGCACUAGGACAGGAGAGCAUCCCAGACCUCUGACUUAGGCUGAUGAAGACCACAGCAAGGAGAAGCCCCAGCCCCUCUCCUCCUGCUGUGUCCAUGAAGGGCUCAUCGGAACUCCAAGGAGACUCCGGAUGUGGAGAGGAAGUGGCUGGGCUGCGGCAGGCAGCCUAAUUUCCAGUGGAGCCGGCCCACCAGCCCUGGGUCCUGUUUACACAGCGAGGUGGACGGGGCAACGAAAGCCAGCGGC